UACAGAGGGUGCGAGCGUUAAUCGGAUUUACUGGGCGUAAAGCGCGCGCAGGCGGCUAUCCAAGUCAGUGGUGAAAGCCCGGAGCUCAACUCCGGAACUGCCAUUGAAACUGUUUAGCUUGAGUAUGAGAGAGGUGAGUGGAAUUCCCAGUGUAGAGGUGAAAUUCGUAGAUAUUGGGAAGAACACCGGUGGCGAAGGCGGCUCACUGGCUCAUUACUGACGCUCAGGCGCGACAGCGUGGGGAUCAAACAGG
rnacentral:rRNA from 1 species